rnacentral:rRNA from 1 species
GAUGAACGCUGGCGGCGUGCCUAAUACAUGCAAGUCGAGCGAACGGACGAGAAGCUUUCUUUUCUGAUGUUAGCGGCGGACGGGUGAGUAACACGUGGAGAACCUACCUAUAAGACUGGGAUAACUUCGUGAAACCGGUGCUAAUUCCGGAUAAUAUUUUCACCCGCAUGGUUCAAAAUCUACAGACGGUCUUGCUGUCACUUAUCGAUGGAUCCGCUCUGCAUUAGCUAGUUGGUAAGGUAACGGCUUACCAAGGCAACGAUGCAUAGCCGACCUGAGAGGGUGAUCGGCCACACUGGAACUGAGACACGGUCCAGACUCCUACGGGAGGCAGCAGUAGGGAAUCUUCCGCAAUGGGCGAAAGCCUGACGGAGCAACGCCGCGUGAGUGAUGAAGGUCUUCGGAUCGUAAAACUCUGUUAUUAGGGAAGAACAUAUGAGUAAGUAACUGUGCACAUAUUGACGGUACCUAAUCAGAAAGCCACGGCUAACUACGUG